CGGACCGGCGCACGGGUGAGUAACGCGUAUGUAAUCUACCUGUAACAGAGGGAUAACCCGGAGAAAUCCGGACUAAUACCUCAUAGCACAUAUUAUUCGCAUGAAUUUUAUGUUAAAGAGACUCGGUUACAGAUGAACAUGCGUUCCAUUAGCUAGUUGGCGGGGUUACGGCCCACCAAGGCAACAAUGGAUAGGGGUUCUGAGAGGAAGGUCCCCCACACUGGUACUGAGACACGGACCAG
rnacentral:rRNA from 1 species